GGAGGGUUGGCAGAGUGGUCGAUUGCACUGGUCUUGAAAACCAGCGAGGGGGCAACCUCUCCGUGAGUUCGAAUCUCACACCCUCCGCCA
rnacentral:tRNA from 2 species